rnacentral:lncRNA from 1 species
GGGUUCUGGCCAAAACCUAAAAAAUUAUUUUUUUAAGUCUGACACAAUUAUUAGGCAAUCAUGGGUGCAAAAUAAGAGUGGGUUCCGGCCAUUGACAGACCACAACCCAAUUUUACUGUUCUUUUUAGGUUAUUUUGGUAUUUGUUUUUAAACCUAGGUUGUUUUUGUAAAUAUAAAUUUUUUUUGGAUUAUUUUGGUAAAAUAGCAGGAUAAUAUGUUUUAGCACACUUGAACUCAUAUUUUUUUACAUUGAUAAUAAUGUUCAUACUAAU